rnacentral:tRNA from 1 species
AGCUCAGUGGUAGAGUACUUGCCUUGCAUGCAUGAGGCCCUGGGUUCGAUUCCUCAG